GACUCUUAGUAAGCAUCACAUAAAUGGUGGCUAUUAUUAUUACUUUUUACCUUCAUUAUUUGAUCAGCAACUUGGCCUUUGGACUGAGUUUCUUUACUCUUACAGGAAUGGUUCAAAACUAAGCUUUUGAAAACAUGAUCUCUUACAUUGGAGGGAAGGGAAGGUGUUACCACAAAGAAGAAGACUGAAACUCAGAGAGCGCUGGGAGCUCUGGGAAGACCCAAUAUGGAGGUGGCUUGUGAGUCCACGAAGAGGAGGACACUCAGGAGACAGGUCCAGAAUUUUCCUCUCAGGUGGCAGGACAAGAAGCAGAUAAGAGCUGCAGGAAGACCUCUCAAGGCCUCUAGCAUGAUAAAGACUAUGCCCUUCCAACACUGGCCAAAAGAAAAAUAAUAAUAAACUACAACACCCCUCCUCCCUACUUCUAAAAGAAGAGAACACUGUUCUCAGAACUCUCUCAGGCUUUCUUAAUUGAAAGCAAUGAUUCUGAGUCACUCCUUUAUAUUAAGUGAAACACUCUUGCGUGAAUCUCCAGGGAUGAAGUAAUUAGCCCAGCAAGAAGCCAGCGGACUCCAGUUGUCCCUGCAAGUGGUGGAAAGAAUUAAAUACAAUUUUGCAAAGAUAACACUGAAAGAAUGGUAUUUUCUUUCAAAACAUGUCCCUCUCUGAAACAUCAGUGCAGACAUACGUCAAGAUAGAAACUGGAUCAUAUUUCUAACAGUUGAAGACUCAGAUUUCCUCAAACAAGACUGUUUGUUCUCAUGCCCAAACUGUAUCCUACACUGUCCCGUUGUCUGGACUAUAAUGGAAUACAACAUUAACUUCGGACAGUGGAGGCCGAGUUGGUGCCAACCUUGCUAAUGAACAUAUGGUUUCAAUACUAAUGUGGCUACUUGCACAUUAGGUGGCAAGGUGCCAGGUAUGUACUUAAUAUCGAGGGGACAACUGAUGUAAAAAGGACCAUCUCCUGAUAUGAUUGCAUUUCCAAAAGUGCUCUGCAUCCAGAUUGAGACUCGGCAAAACAGAAAAGUGUCACUCUGCAUCAGGGAGUUUAAAGCACUGCCAGAUGAGGAGGAGCCCCGCAGAGACCACGCACACACUCUGCCAGCCUGAAGCAUCCCAGGGCCUGGAUGAUAAUGAAAUGGAUAACACUGCAGUGUGGAAAAACUCCGCCUGGCCCAGGAGGGUGGAGGGAGGGGAAGGAUUAGGAUCACACCCUGCUUCAAGUUCCUGGUGUUCUGGACUCUGGGACUUGAGGGUCUGAAAGUUAGAAGACAGUGAAAUGAAUUACAGUUUAACGAUAUUCCCACUACACUGACAAAAUGGAUUCAAUUACAUAAUGGUAGCAUUAAAUGUUAUUAAGAAGGGAUCCAAAGUCUUGAGGCCAGACUUUCACAAAAUCAUGAUAAGCUGCUAAAAACAGCUGAAAUAGCACAUUUAUAGGCUUUCCAGCCCUCGGUUUGUUGAAGGGGAAAAGAGUUGUUACAUUUGCUCAAAUUUUCUGCGGUGCCGGCCUAUAAUCAGGAGAUUAGUACGUGGACAGGGGUGUCAGGACAUAUCUGAUUGGAUUAUUAUAUCUUAAAGUACAAUUUUGUUUUUCAGAAUGCUUUUGUAAAGUACAGAGUUAAAUGGCUUGCCUGAGGUCUUGGCCUGGGGAUGGCUUGGUAGGGUGUGAUUUUUUUUGGUGGCAGAACUCUUGUAGGGUGACCAGGUGUAUAGAGGAUGGACUGGUUUUCUUCAAGCCUAUCUUCUCUUUUGUAUAAGUGACCUUUUAUUUUUGUUUUAUUUUUAAAUUUGCAUACUAUAAAAUUCACUCAUUGUGGUUUUGACAAAUGUAUCCGCCACCACAAUCAAUAUACAGACAGUUCUGUCACUUCCAAAAAAUGUCUCAUGCUGCCUGUUUAUAGUCAGUCUCCUCCCCUUCUCCACCCCCUGCCCACUGCCCAUCUGUUCUCCAUUCCUGUAGUUUUGCCUCUUCCUGAAUAUCCUAUGGAUCUAUAAUGUAUAGUCUUUUGGGUCAGGCUUCUUUUGGUUGGCAAAGUGCAUUUGAGAUUCUUUGGUGUUGUUUCACAAAUCAAUAAUUUAUUCCUUUUUGUUGCUGAGUGGUAUU